AUUGAACGCUGGCGGCAGGUCUAACACAUGCAAGUCGAGCGGAUGAAGGGAGCUUGCUCCUGGAUUCAGCGGCGGACGGGUGAGUAAUGCCUAGGAAUCUGCCUGGUAGUGGGGGAUAACGUCCGGAAACGGGCGCUAAUACCGCAUACGUCCUGAGGGAGAAAGUGGGGGAUCUUCGGACCUCACGCUAUCAGAUGAGCCUAGGUCGGAUUAGCUAGUUGGUGGGGUAAAGGCCUACCAAGGCGACGAUCCGUAACUGGUCUGAGAGGAUGAUAGUCACACUGGAACUGAGACACGGUCCAGACUCCUACGGGAGGCAGCAGUGGGGAAUAUUGGACAAUGGGCGAAAGCCUGAUCCAGCCAUGCCGCGUGUGUGAAGAAGGUCUUCGGAUUGUAAAGCACUUUAAGUUGGGAGGAAGGGCAGUAAGUUAAUACCUUGCUGUUUUGACGUUACCAACAGAAUAAGCACCGGCUAACUUCGUG
rnacentral:rRNA from 1 species